UCUUUAUAAAAGUUAAGCCAUUCUACAUUAAAUUAUUUAGUCAAAAUAAGGUCGAGGUAAAUUUUAUUGCGUUGGGGUGAUGUUAAUAUUGAAUAAACUGUUAAACACUAUAACAAAUAUGUUUGGAACACUAAUAGAUCUUAUUUAAAAAUUUAAAGUACAAGUU
rnacentral:rRNA from 1 species